CCCCGGCGCGGGGCCCUGCGGUAGCCUCGGGCCCCUCCCCUGGACCCGCCGCAGAGCCAGUGCAGAAUACAGAAACUGCAGCCAUGACCACGCACGUCACCCUGGAAGAUGCCCUGUCCAACGUGGACCUGCUUGAAGAGCUUCCCCUCCCCGACCAGCAGCCAUGCAUCGAGCCUCCACCUUCCUCCAUCAUGUACCAGGCUAACUUUGACACAAACUUUGAGGACAGGAAUGCAUUUGUCACGGGCAUUGCAAGGUACAUUGAGCAGGCUACAGUCCACUCCAGCAUGAAUGAGAUGCUGGAGGAAGGACAUGAGUAUGCGGUCAUGCUGUACACCUGGCGCAGCUGUUCCCGGGCCAUUCCCCAGGUGAAAUGCAAUGAGCAGCCCAACCGAGUAGAGAUCUAUGAGAAGACAGUGGAGGUGCUGGAGCCGGAGGUCACCAAGCUCAUGAAGUUCAUGUAUUUUCAGCGCAAGGCCAUCGAGCGGUUCUGCAGCGAGGUGAAGCGGCUGUGCCAUGCCGAGCGCAGGAAGGACUUUGUCUCUGAGGCCUACCUCCUGACCCUGGGCAAGUUCAUCAACAUGUUUGCUGUCCUGGAUGAGCUAAAGAACAUGAAGUGCAGCGUCAAGAAUGACCACUCUGCCUACAAGAGGGCAGCACAGUUCCUGCGGAAGAUGGCAGAUCCCCAGUCUAUCCAGGAGUCGCAGAACCUUUCCAUGUUCCUGGCCAACCACAACAGGAUCACCCAGUGUCUCCACCAGCAACUUGAAGUGAUCCCAGGCUAUGAGGAGCUGCUGGCUGACAUUGUCAACAUCUGCGUGGAUUACUACGAGAACAAGAUGUACCUGACCCCCAGUGAGAAACAUAUGCUCCUCAAGGUAAAACUCCCCUGAGGCCGCACCCAUGGAGCCUGGGCUUACCCUCUCACCUUCUUAUUAAAAAUCCAUUUUAAAAAACAAUGUUUCUUCUUUCUUAAACAUUGAUACAGAUCUUACGGCACAUAAUGGUUUGUAACCUGUUCCUUUCCUGUAAUAUAAUAUACCGUAGUCACCUUUCCAGAUGUCAUUAAGGCUAUUUCUACAAUGUUAUGUGUAAUGACUGCCAAGUAUUCCAUUGUAUUGGAACAUUGUCAUGUAACAUAUCCCCUGUGGUUGGAUAUUUGUUUGCUAAACUUCAUUGAACACCCUUGUAGCAGUUUUUGUGCACAUCUUUUUGUCAAGGCAAACUUCCUAGAAGAGAAAUUGCUGGCUCAAAGGGUAAAACAGAAUAAAUCUUUUUUUUUAUUUCAAUA
rnacentral:sRNA from 1 species